rnacentral:rRNA from 1 species
CAGUCGCCGCGGGAAUACGUAGGGGGCAAGCGUUAUCCGGAAUUACUGGGUGUAAAGGGAGCGUAGACGGUUAUACAAGUCUGAAGUGAAAUGCCGGGGCUCAACCCCGGAGCUGCUUCGGGAACUGUAGAACUGGAGUGUCGGAGGGGUAAGCGGAAUUCCCAGUGUAGCGGUGAAAUGCGUAGAUAUUGGGAGGAACACCGGCGGCGAAGGCGGCUUACUGGAUGACAACUGACGUUGAGGCUCGAAGGCGUGGGUAGCAAACAGGAUUAGAGACCCCCGUAGUCCCUGUCUCUUAUAC